GACGAACGCUGGCGGCGUGCUUAACACAUGCAAGUCGAACGGAAAGGCCUUGCUUGCAGGGUACUCGAGUGGCGAACGGGUGAGUAACACGUGGGUGAUCUGCCCUGCACUUCGGGAUAAGCCUGGGAAACUGGGUCUAAUACCGGCUAGGUGCCAUUUUUAGUGUGAUGGUUGGAAAGUUUUUUCGGUGUAGGAUGAGCUCGCGGCCUAUCAGCUUGUUGGUGGGGUAAUGGCCUACCAAGGCGGCGACGGGUAGCCGGCCUGAGAGGGUGGACGGCCACAAUGGGACUGAGAUACGGCCCAGACGGCUACGGGAGGCAGCAGUGGGGAAUAUUGCACAAUGGGCGCAAGCCUGAUGCAGCGACGCCGCGUGGGGGAUGACGGCCUUCGGGUUGUAAACUGCUUUCGCUAGGGACGAAGCUUUUGUGACGGUACCUAGAUAAGAAGCACCGGCUAACUACGUG
rnacentral:rRNA from 1 species